ensembl:lncRNA
AGAGAGUUUACUUACAGAAUGAAGACACUGGUGAGGUCACCAGAAUCCACCGCGGGGAUCUCCCUCAGGCCCGGGACAGGACCGGUAGGGUCUGUAGGGUCUGUAGGGUCAGUAGGGUCUGUAGGGUCUGUAGGGGGUCAGUAGAGUCAGUGGGGUCAGUAGGGGUCAGUAGGGUCUGUAGGGUCAGUAGGGUCAGUGGGGUCAGUAGGGUCAGUGGGGUUAGUAGGGGGUCAGUAGGGUCAGUAGGGUCAAUAGGGUCAGUGGGGUCAGUAGGGUCAGUAGGGUCAGUAGGGUUAGUAGGGGGUCUGUAGGGUCAGUAGGGUCUGUAGGGGACCAGAUGACCAGGAGGUCUGUAGGGAGUCUGUAGAGGGUCUUGAGGGGACCAGAUGACCAGGAGGUCUGUAGGGGGUCUGUGGAGGGUCUGUAGGGGGUCUGUAGAGGGUCUUGAAGGGACCAGAUGACCAGGAGGUCUGUAGGGGGUCUGUGGAGGGUCUUGAGGGGACCAGAUGACCAGGAGGUCUGUAGGGGACCAAAGGGUCGGGUCAGGAGCGUACAAUCCACUCUUUGUUUAGGUCUUCAGUCUUCUUCUGUGCUCUGAUUGGCUGUUUGUGGUCUGAGGACCUGAGAGAGGCCUUGAGUGGGGGGCCUUGGGGAGGAGAUGGGAGGGGAGAGGGGACUGGAGAGAGGAAGGAAGAAGAAUAGAGAAGAUCCACCAAUCAGAGAUCUGGAAACACCUGCACCCCGCCCUCUAUACCUCAGACUGGGAGCCAAGACUAAGACGGAUAAUGUAAUGGUUUUAACUCUCUUUCUCUCUCUUUCUCUCACACUCUCCUUCUCUCUCUCUCUCUCUCUCUCUCUCUCUCUCUCUCUCUCUCUCUCUCUCUCUCUCUCUCUCUCUCUCU